rnacentral:tRNA from 1 species
AGCCGGGGUAGUUCUAAGUUAGAAUAACAGCCUGUCUAGUUGAAGGUGCCUCAUUUUAGGUUCCCGGUUA